rnacentral:rRNA from 1 species
CGAGACCUUAACCUGCUAAAUAGUCCGCGUAACCUCUGUGUUGCGUGCUUGGCUUCUUAGAGGGACUAUCGGUAUCCAACCGAUGGAAGUUUGAGGCAAUAACAGGUCUGUGAUGCCCUUAGAUGUUCUGGGCUGCACGCGCGCUACACUGAUGUGUUCAACGAGUUUUCAACCUUGCCUGGAAAGGUUUGGUAAUCUUGAACAGGCAUCGUGAUGGGGAUUGUUUAUUGCAAUUAUUAACCUUCAACGAGGA